UCAGGUAGCUGGUUUAACAUACUCUGAGUUUAAUCCUGCGCUCUGAGUUGGUUGACUCAGAGUUCAGGGUUGAAAAGCAACUCUGGGUUUUCGGUUUCAGAACAGGUGAUCAGCGUUGGCUUAAUCAACUCUGAGUGUGUUCACGCUGGGUUGGGGGCGUGCCUGUUGACUAUAAAGAGCCAUCAUCAAUGGAUCUCUGAUAACAUGAUCAAACAUGGACCAAAAACGUAGAUCCAGUUACUUUUCACCCACGGAAUUGGAAAUAUUAAUGCACGCAUAUGCCGAGCAGGUACCCAUUUUCACCAAAAAAAGUAAUACCGCCGCGGCAGCGAGAGCGCGAGAGAGAGCUUGGCAGGAAAUAGCCGAACAAGUCAAUGCGAACAACCCGAGUUGCCCCAAGAGGACUUGGCAGCAAAUGAAAAUGAAGUACAAAAAUAUAGUUCAAACAGCAAAUCGAAAAAAAGCAGAGGCCCGGAAGACUGGAGGGGGUCCACCACCUGCAGCCCUCACAGAGGCUGAGGAGAU